ACGGAAGGCAGCAGUGGGGAAUAUUGGACAAUGGGGGAAACCCUGAUCCAGCGACGCCGCGUGAGUGAAGAAGUAUUUCGGUAUGUAAAGCUCUAUCAGCAGGGAAGAUAAUGACGGUACCUGACUAAGAAGCACCGGCUAAAUACGUGCCAGCAGCCGCGGUAAUACGUAUGGUGCAAGCGUUAUCCGGAUUUACUGGGUGUAAAGGGAGCGCAGGCGGCCUAGCAAGUCUGAAGUGAAAUCCCGGGGCUCAACCCCGGAACUGCUUUGGAAACUGUUAGGCUAGAGUGUCGGAGGGGUAAGCGGAAUUCCUAGUGUAGCGGUGAAAUGCGUAGAUAUUAGGAGGAACACCAGUGGCGAAGGCGGCUUACUGGACGAUAACUGACGCUGAGGCUCGAAAGCGUGGGGAGCAAACAGGAUUAGAUACCCUGGUA
rnacentral:rRNA from 1 species